rnacentral:lncRNA from 1 species
AUGAAAAUCCUGGAGAACAGAGUGGAAGAAACGCGUAUUCCACAUUUCCUGUUGAUUUUCUUUCCUCCCUAAACACUGACCUCCCGCAGUCUUCACUAGCAGGUAAGCCCAUUUUCCUCCCUACACCACCAUAGCCUGUAGGUCCCUAACUUCCAGACCCUGCUCAGGGUUAAACAAGCUGGACACUGAACAGCCUCUGGGGGGUGCCAUGUCUAGCAAGUCCAUGGGAAUGAGAACCGUUGGGUUGUGCAGUCCACACCCUGCACAACUGUAAGCUACUUAACUCCAGGCUCAGAGCCAAGCGAAAAUGCCAGCUUUAUUAUGCUAAUUAGACUAAUGAUCUGCUGACUUUUUGGAGUAAGAGGCUUUGACCUCCCUGCUCAGCACAACCAGAAUGAGGAAGCUUUCAGAAGACAACAGCACCUCAGGGGGCCCCAGCAGCCUCUUCUGCCCCCAAGCUGAGGACUAUGUCCAAAGGUUGCCAACUCAGGCUGGGGUAGGGGGUUGUCAGCUGGGCCUGCAACCCUCUUAGGUGUCAUCUGCUUCAUUAUCCUCUCCUGGCAGGGUGUUCUGGCCUCCAGAGCAUCUGGAUGGGUUCCAGGAUAUAAAUGUGACACUGUCAUUGCAUUAAAGUAGUCGAGCUGAAACCCCUGAAAACAAUCGUAGGACGAUGACAAGGUUUUGGCAGCUGCAAUCUUAAAGACCAGGAAGUGAGGGUAACAGAAGCAAAUCAUCAGUGCCUGUCUUUGAACUUGAUGAAACUGUCUCAGCCUCAUGACCUGUGGUACUAGACAGAGACCACAACACCUUGUCUAUCCAGAGUGUGGGAGCACUGUGUGCAGUUAGCUCCUGGAGGCUUGUCCUCAGUAGGCUUAGGGCAUGAGGAGCCCUGGAAAGCCCAGGACCCCAUGGAGGGCCCUGGAGAAACAGCACCUGUGGCUGAGGGGUUCACAGGCCCAGCGAGAUCCACUCAGGUGAGGUCACCUGUAGAGGUCAUGCUGCGGAGUCCCGAGUCCCUGAUUAUAUUCAAGACGUGGAGCUCUCUUUUUCCCGUCCUGCUUUCUUUCCAGAAGUGCCUCAGAUGCAUCCUCCCCUUCUCUUUUCUCCACAUGAAGACGUCACUGACCAUCUUCUCUGGUUUGCUUUCCAACACCGAGCACCAAGUGCUUCAAAGGUCAUGGUGCCCUGGGGCCGAGAGCUACUUAUGUGG